UACAGAGGGUGCAAGCGUUGUUCGGAAUUAUUGGGCGUAAAGGGCGCGUAGGCGGUGCUGUAAGUCUGUGGUGAAAUCGUCUGGCUCAACUCAGAGUCUGCCAUAGAAACUGCAGGUGUUGGAGUGUGGGAGAGGUGAGUGGAACUGCGAGUGUAGAGGUGAAAUUCGUAGAUAUCGCAAGAACACCAGUGGCGAAGGCGGCUCACUGGCCCGGUACUGACGCUGAGGUGGCGAAAGCG
rnacentral:rRNA from 1 species